GACGGAUGGUGCAAGCGUUGCUCGGAAUCACUGGGCGUAAAGGGUGCGUAGGCGGCCGUGCAAGUCUGGCGUGAAAGCCCCGGGCUCAGCCCGGGAAGUGCGCUCGAAACUGCGCGGCUCGAGUGCCGGAGGGGAGAGUGGAAUUCCUGGUGUAGCGGUGAAAUGCGUAGAUAUCAGGAGGAAUACCGGUGGCGAAAGCGACUCUCUGGACGGCAACUGACGCUGAGGCACGAAAGCGUGGGGAGCAAACAGG
rnacentral:rRNA from 1 species